AUGACUCUCAUCACCAUCCUCAUCUGGACGCUGGCCUGCUGCUGUUUUACAGGAUGCAGCGGUCAGGUGACUGUGACUCAGCCUCCAGUAGUGACAUCUACUCCAGGAUCCACCGUCUCUCUCACCUGUAAGACCAGCCGAGCUGUUUACAGAUGGUCUGAUGGAGAUGAGGGUAUAUCCUGGUAUCAACAGAAAUCAGGAGAGCGUCCAAAGCUUCUAAUAAGAUAUGCCAAAAAACCUGAAUCAGGAACAGCAGCUCGGUUUAGUGGCAGUGGAAGCAGCUCUGACUUCACUUUGACCAUCAGUGGAGUUCUGACUGAAGACGCAGCAGUUUAUUACUGUCAGAGUUUCCACGAAAUAAACAGUGCUUAUGUGUUCACACAGUGAUUUAGAGCCGUACAAAAACCUCCUUCAGUUUGACUGAAGUGAAACCGGCCUGCUGCAGGUGCAGAGGGUUGGUGAAGAGACUGUGAUGAGGAGAACUGGUCCAGUGAACACAACACAAGAGUCAUCAAGCAGAACCACAAUGAAUCUAAAUAAAACUGGAACAAACUCACAGACGCU